UAGUAUUGACCGGACGGGUUGCGAGAGGGCAAAGGAGGUUGAUGGGACAUGGUGUUCAAAGUACCUCCCAGAAAGCAAUCAAGAGGAGGGUAUUGUAUGGUUAUCUCGCCCAACAACCCACUGAUGAUUGUCAACCAAGGAAGUCUGAGGUCCCUGAUGAGGACAUCUCGAGGUACUCAAAUCGAAAGAUUGAGAGUGACCGAUCCCGGAGGAGGGGUCUGACCCUGAAUCCGAACGGAUUCUGAUGUCUGAUGGGGAGAGUUUAAAGUGAAUGAGCUAGUGCUUACCCGAUAACAUUUGAACGCACCAAUGAUGGUGGCUGAGUACAAAGUUGGUAUCCUGAGUGUUGUACUUCGGUACGUGCAUCUACUGGGGCAACGCCUUCCUCAUUCAGUAUGGGAUGGAAGUGAUAUUGCCUGCUGGAGGCUAGAUCUCAUUGUGGAGAGUCCGGAUGGAUGAG
rnacentral:lncRNA from 1 species